rnacentral:rRNA from 1 species
GACGAACGCUGGCGGCGUGCCUAAUACAUGCAAGUAGAACGCUGAAGAGAGGAGCUUACUCUUCUUGGAUGAGUUGCGAACGGGUGAGUAACGCGUAGGUAACCUGCCUUGUAGCGGGGGAUAACUAUUGGAAACGAUAGCUAAUACCGCAUAACAAUGGAUGACACAUGUCAUUUAUUUGAAAGGGGCAAUUGCUCCACUACAAGAUGGACCUGCGUUGUAUUAGCUAGUAGGUGAGGUAAUGGCUCACCUAGGCGACGAUACAUAGCCGACCUGAGAGGGUGAUCGGCCACACUGGGACUGAGACACGGCCCAGACUCCUACAGGAGGCAGCAGUAGGGAAUCUUCGGCAAUGGGGGCAACCCUGACCGAGCAACGCCGCGUGAGUGAAGAAGGUUUUCGGAUCGUAAAGCUCUGUUGUAAGUCAAGAACGGGUGUGAGAGUGGAAAGUUCACACUGUGACGGUAGCUUACCAGAAAGGGACGGCUAACUACGUG